GGGGGAAGGGAGGCCGGCCCAGGGCGCUUGCCCUUUUCCUUUCUAUUUUUUUUAUUCAAAAGGGUUUAAACCAAAUUUUCAACACCUUUAUAAACCAAAAUUUGAUUUAUUAAUUUGGGUCGUUUUGAGAAUUGUUUUCUCUACUGCUUUUGAAAACAAAGCAUUUUUUUUUCUUAAUAACAUAUUUUUAAAUUAUUUUUCCACUCAAAUAUAAAUUAGUUUUCAAAUAUGAAUUUUGGAGUUUUAUUUUUUUGAAAACCGAAAGGACCUAAACGUGCUCUCUAGAAAUUUUGAAAUUCAUUUUUCUGAGACAAGCCAAACAAAGCUAGGGCACAAAACACACAUCAAAUAAAACACCCUCCACUUAAUUUAUUAAAAGUUUUAAAAUUCCACAUUUUUCUCAUUUUAUAUUAACAACAAUGAAUAAAAUCUUGGAAUAUUUUACAAAAAUUUUAAAUCCUUGUUAAAUUUAGUAUUUUCUAAUAACAAUCCAAAAUUAAAAAUUUUGGAGUGUUAUAGAUCUACCCCACUUAACAUAAAUCUCGUCCCGAGAUUUGAAGGAACUAGAGAGAAAGAUAAAGUAGAUCAUCAAAGUUGUUUCGAGACUUUUAAGACGUGAUCAAAGGAUUAAAGAUGGACAUAAAGGGUAUAGAGUAUGGUAAAGAUUGGUGACAAGGAAAGAUAAACGUAUGAGAUAAGAAUUGAUCUUUGGAUCCUGUAUUAUGAUAAGGUGCAAGGGCAAGAAGCCAAUAUUAAAAAGAGAUGAUACAUAGGAGAUAAAGAUAGAUAUUAUUGUGCUCACAAUUUCCUUGAUUCCAAAUAUGCAUAAGAUAGUAGAUGAAAGGAUAAAGAAUUACCAAAAGUUGACAAAGACUUAGAUUUUUUUUUUGUCUUCACGCUUAAUCAUUUGUAGUCCUAUGAGAUGUAAGAUCCAAGAUCACACGUUGACAAAAAUGAUAAGGGCUCAUCGCAAGAAUGAUAA
rnacentral:lncRNA from 1 species